AUAAAAUUGUGUGGACUGGGGAUAUAGCUCAGUGGUAGAGAAUUUGCCUAAAAAGGCAAGGCUCUGGGUCACUGGAAUUAUAACCAUGUGCCACUAUACCCAACUUCUCAUAGACUUUUACCUGAUUAAGUCAGGUCAACCCAAUAUAAUCAUCCCUUUGAUUAACUCCAAAUGAUUAACUUGAGACCUUAAUUACAUCUUCAAAAUCCCUUUACCUUUACCAUAUACCUAACUUAAUCAUGGGUAUUACAUCCUAUCACCUAUGCCAUAUUCUAAGAUCUAGAAGCAAGGUACAGGUCCGAUCCACACACAUGGUCAUAAAUAUCAGGGGUGGGGGAGUGGUGGGUCAUUAGGUUUGUCCUCCAUAUUACCUAUAGUAGUACAUUUUUUUCUUUUAAAAAAUGGAUUUUUUUCUCACAUCUUCAUACAUGUAUUUUGUAUAACAAUGAGGGUCUCCUUCCACCAUCCAUGCAAUUCUCUUUCUCCCUCCCUUUCCCUUCCACCCCUCUUCCCUAUGUAGAGGUAAUCUUCUUCCCAUGCUCUUCCUCUCUUCCCCAUUGAAGUAGAGAGAAGUGGUGGGAGGGGAGGGAAGGGGUUGGGGAGAUUGGAAGGAUAGUAGAAUGAAACAGACAUUAUUAUUACUGUGUGUAUAUAUGUGACUGCAUGACCAAUGUGAUUCUGCAACCUGUAUACUCAGAAAAAUGAGAAAUUAUAUCCCAUCUGAUUUAAAUGUAUGAUAUGUCAAGGUCAUUGUACUGUCAUGUUAACUAAGUAAAACAACAAAAAAAGGUAUUGUGUCCAACUACAACUAAAAAAUAAAUAUUUUUUAAAAAAAUCCAUAAAAAUCACUUAACAAAGGGUUUGGAGAGCAUGCAAUUAUCCAUGUGUUAGGAAUGUCAGGAAUGUAGUGUGUCCUAAACCAUGGUGUCAAAAGCUCUUGUGUUUAGGACUCUUCCAUAAUUUAUCCUAUGUACCUCAUCUGGCUGCUUAUUAGAAAGUAACCUUUAAAAUAAACUAGUGAUAGCAAGUAAAAAAAAUGGAAUUUUAAGUCAGGUGUGGUGGCACAUGGAAUAAUUGGGGAUGUGGCUCAUCAGUAAAGCACCCCUGGGUUCAAUCCCUAGUACCACAAAACAAACAAACAAACAAACAAACAAACAAACAAAAGUCUAUGAGAAGACUGAAGUGAAGAGACUCUGUUAAUUUCUUCCUCUGAAGAAGUGAGUUGCCCUGUCGUGAGAGUGCCACAUGGCAGGGAACUGCAAGGGGCCUCUGGUAACUGAGUGACUUCCCAGCCCAUGGCCAGAAAUAAACAGGGGCCUCAGUUUUAUAAAUAAAAUAAGAUGAGGUCUAGGAAGAUGGCGGCGAGGGGAGUGCAUUGCCCCCGUGUGUCGCGUCACUGUGUGGGAGAAUGACGAGUCAGGACUGCUAAAGGCUAUCUUGUUAGGAAUUUCCAGCAAUAGUGGGGUGCUCCGGAACCUGGAGGAAGGAUUUCCAUCGCAAGAGGAUCGGCUGCGGGGACUCAAACACGAGAGAUUUGUCGCACGGAGGGUAACACUGCUUAUUCAGCAAAUCGCCCUGCGGCUAGAGUCUGCAGCGUGUGCUGGGAAACAAGGAGAUAGCGACGCAGGGAUACAGCGCUGCAGUUUCUGCCAGCCAUGCAAGCACCGUACUCAGUGCUGAAUUCUGGGUUCAAGACGGGGGAAGGAAGCGGUCCAAUUCGGUUCUCCACACCGGUCAGAUCACAGAGGAGGCCAGGGCUACCAUCUUGGAGAGCUGACGUCACCAUCCCUGUUUUCGACUGACUGCAGCUCAUUCAGCCAUAGAACAGGUAAUUUCAGGCUGCCAUUCGCCUGCAGCUUGCAGACAGAUUACUCAGGCUCAGUGCUAGAUGACCCGCGGAGACUGCUUCUUGGAGCCUGCUCUUAUCGGAGCAUACACUGAGCACGGAGCGGCUGAGUUCCGGCUCCCGGAACUGCUCUGGCCCAGGGCUAAGGAGCCCGCGGAAACUGCUUCUCGGUCCGGGUCCUGCUGAGUACUGUGGAGGUAAAUACCAACCGAGCCUUCGUGGGCAGUGGCAACAGGACUGAGAUGGGGCCUGUGAGGGCUGGUCAGGACUCACACGUUGCUUUGGUCACCCGGCAAAGGGAACGAAGUGCUGCCAUUCGCAUAGGAUACCAACAUGGCAGAGAUCUGAUGUCAUCAGAAAGCGGCGGAUGAGAGAACUUCAUCAAUACCAGCGGCGACAGAAACAGUUGGUCUCCUGGUAGGGAGGGUGAGUCACAGACACCCGAAUCUCUCUUGCUUUGUCUUCGAGCCAGAGGGGAGGAGCCGGGCCGCCGCCCGCGCCCGGAGCAGGCCCAGCGGCUCGCCGGCGUGGUGGUCGCGUGACCCCAAUUGGAGAGGGGGCGGAGUGGAGCCGCCACCCGCGCCUGCAAGGUGGGCAGACCUGUGACCCAGUGGUACGCGGGCGUGGUAGGAGGGGCAGGGCAGAGCCGCCGCCCACGCCUGCAAGGUAAGCAGACCUGCGACAGACUGGCGGGUCAGGCCCAGCGGCCUGCCAGCGUGGUACACACGUCACCCCAACUGGAGUAGGGGCAGAGCAGAGCCUUCGCCUGCGCCUGGAUCAGGCCCCGCCGGUGUGGUGGUCACGUGACCCCAAUUGGAGUGGGGGCGGAGCGGAACUGCCACCCGUGCCCGCAGGGUGGGCAGACCUGCGACCAACCUGCAGAUCAGGCCCAGCGGUCUGCGGGCGUGGUAGGAGGGGCAGGGAAGAGCCGCCGCCUGCGCCUGCAAGGUAGGCAGACCUGCGACAGACCAGCGGAUCAGGCCCAGUGGCCUGCCGGCGUGGUACACACGUCACCCCAAUUGGAGUAGGGGCAGAGCAGAGCCGCCACCCGUGCCCGAAAGGUGGGCAGACCUGCGACCGACCAGCGGGACAGGUCCAGUGGCCUGCCGGUGCGACAGACACGUCACCCCAUUUGGAGUAGGGGCAGAGCAGAGCCGCCGCCCGUGCCUGCAAGGUAGGCAGACCUGCGACCGACCGGUGGAACAGGCCCAGCGGCCGGCCGGGGUGGUAGGCACGUCACCCCAAUUGGAGUAGGAGCAGAGAAGAGCCUUCGCCGGCACCCGGAACAGGCCCACCGGUCCGCGGGUGUGUUAGACAAGUCACACCAAUUGGAGGGGGGGCAGAGCAGAGCCGCCGCCUGUGCCUGCAGGGUAGGCAGACCUGCAACCGACCGGCGGAUCAGGCCCGGUGGCCUGCCGGCGUGGUACACUCGUCACCCCAAUUGGAGUAGGGGCAGAGCAGAGCCGCUGCCCGCGCCCAGAACAGGCCCAGUGACCUGCCAGCGUGGUAGUCACGACACCCCAAUUGGAGUAAGGGCAGAGCAGAGCCGCCUCCUGCACCCGGAAUAAGCCCAGCGACCCGCCGGCGUGGUAGACACGUCACCCCAAUUGGAGUAAGGACAGAGCAGAGCCACCGCCCGCGCCUGCAAGGUAGGCAGACCUGUGACCGACCGGCAGGACAGGCCCAGGGGUCCGUGGGCGUGGUAGACACCUCACACCAAUUGGAGGAGGGGCAGAGCAGAGCCGCC
rnacentral:lncRNA from 1 species